GGAGGUUUUAAAGCUCUGUCGCUCACUUACAUCUUGGAGUACUGCAUCUUCACAUUCGUCAGAUUUUUCUAUCUGUUGUCAUAUCCCCGGAAUUUUGAAUCAGGUACAUACCUAGCAUCUUCAGAUAAGCACGUGAUCACGUUCAUACGGAUCAGUCGCUAACUCUCUUACGGAGAGCAUAGUGUGGUUUGAUAACAGUGGUGCAGAAGCUCUGCGAAGUUGAAGAUGCAGCACUACAAGAAGUGCGUGAGCGACGGGCUAUAUGAAAGAC
rnacentral:pre_miRNA from 1 species